rnacentral:lncRNA from 1 species
AUACAUAAAAUUAUUAUAAAUAAACUUAUUUUAAAUUAUUAUUUUUAAUAUAAGAUUACUACAUUAAUCUUAAUCACGCUCUUACCAUCUUAUGUAAUAUAAUACUAUUAUUUAAUUGGGGUAUAUUUUUUGUGUAGUUAAUUUAGAAAGAAGAUUUUUCAAGCUUCUGAAACUAUAUAUAUAUAGAAUUAGACUACUAUACUAUCUAUAUAU